CCCUUCGUAAUUCCAACCAGAUUCCUCUUUGGUAUUCAUCUUCAUCAUCGAACAAAACCCACUCUAAUAAUAUUCAUCUUCUUCUUAUUGCAAAUAAAACCCCCUUCAUCUUCAUCCUCUUAUAUUAUACGCAAAUAAGCCCAAUUUAUCUUGUAAGUUAAAUUAAGCAAAUUUCAAUUUUACUGGAGCAGAAAAUUCAGAGCUGGUCAAAUUUAUUUCCUCGACCUAAUCGAUCUUCUAUCAUCUACUAAAGAGGACACAAAUAUGCAAAUCUUAAUCUCUAAAAUUCUCCCAAGUUUUUGUGACUAUUUGGUGGAAGAAGAAAAAGUGAAUAAAUCAGUUCUGCGUCUCGACCUCUGCCUUUUCAGGAAAUUACUACAAGAACAAAUUUAAUUAGUAAUAACAAGGGGAGAAGGAGAACUUUGCUGCAACCAACAUGUUUGAUGAAAUUCUCCAAGCAAGUCUGUUAACCUCUUCUCUGCUAUCGAUCAAACUUUUCCCAUAACAUUGGAUACUGAGCCUUGGACUUACAAUAGAGGAUGUCGCAAGUAAUCUCCAGGCAUUAAAAUCUCUUUGUUCAUUUCGAUUUCGUUUUCGAAUGUUAAGUCCUGUUUCUUUAUAUUUAUGAAGUUUUAUAUUAUUGAAACAUAUAUGAGAUCAUAAAUUCGUUACCUUCAUAGUUGGACAAAUUCAAUCCUGGAGAAGUUUAGUGUUUAACUAAGACAUGGAAGGGAUCAUAUAUCCUAGCCACAUCAUUUGGAAAGAAAAAAAGAUUUAGUGUUUAACUAAGACAUGGAAGGGAUCAUAUAUCCUAGCCACAUCAUUUGGAAAGUAAAAAAGAUUGCCUUGUCUAAAUCUUAUAAAUGUUAAUCAACUAAUGUCUGCAUUUUUAACGAAGGAAACCAGUGUAGCUAUAUCUGAAGCUGAGUUAGCUAACUUCCAAUAUAGUGUUGACUAUCCAAAGGUUUUCUAAGAGGGUCCUGUGCUUAAAUUCCUUUAUUUCUAUCAAGAGAAGCACAAAAGUACAAAGAAAAGUUUAAAUGGUUUCUUUCUGUGUCAUAGAAGUGUAGGCUCUACAUGACAAGCAUAGGCUGCGUAGCAAGCCAAAACCGAUAUAAUAGAUGCAUUACGGCGUAAGGUCUCUACUGCAAAGAAUUUGAUGGUACAACACGAAAGGCAUCAUGUCUAUAUUUGAGACAAUCGACAUUGUCCCUGAUGCAACUUUCCUGUUCUUUCAGGUAUUAUAGGUUGAUUCCCACAGUCUAAAGCUUCAAGAAUUAUUUCGCACAACGUUAUGUUUUAACUUGAAUUAGGAGUGGAGAGGGCUAAGUUUAAGAUUUCAAAAUUUUGAUGCUUGUAAAGCAGGAAAAGGAAUCUCUUGAAAACUUUGUUGUUUUGAUUUAUUUACCAGUUAUAUUGCAUGACAAUAACGUCUCAUGAAGACUUUUUUGUUGUUUUAACUUUAAGGUUCAUUACCUUAUUUUAAAACAAUAUAAUCAUUCACGCCAUAGAAAUGCUCUCUGGAUUCUACAUUAGAAAAAGGACAUGCUAGAAUCAGGAGGUCUUUUUUGUCUUUUUUAAGGAC